rnacentral:ncRNA from 1 species
ACCACCCGUGUGGGAGAGACCGCCCUCUGCGGGGGCGGCGCCGAAGGGGCAAAUCCUCCCCGGAACCUCUCAGGCAAAAGGACCUCGCGGGCAGG